GAUGAACGCUAGCGGGAGGCCUAACACAUGCAAGCCGAGCGGUACUGUUUCUUCGGAAAUGAGAGAGCGGCGUACGGGUGCGGAACACGUGUGCAACCCGCCUUUAUCUGGGGGAUAGCCUUUCGAAAGGAAGAUUAAUACUCCAUAACAUAUUGAUUGGCAUCAAUUAAUAUUGAAAGCUCCGGCGGAUAGAGAUGGGCACGCGCAAGAUUAGCUAGUUGGUGAGGUAACGGCUCACCAAGGCGAUGAUCUUUAGGGGGCCUGAGAGGGUGAUCCCCCACACUGGUACUGAGACACGGACCAGACUCCUACGGGAGGCAGCAGUGAGGAAUAUUGGUCAAUGGGUGCAAGCCUGAACCAGCCAUCCCGCGUGAAGGACGACUGCCCUAUGGGUUGUAAACUUCUUUUGUAUAGGGAUAAACCUACCCUCGUGAGGGUAGCUGAAGGUACUAUACGAAUAAGCACCGGCUAACUCCGUGCCAGCAGCCGCGGUAAUACGGAGGGUGCAAGCGUUAUCCGGAUUUAUUGGGUUUAAAGGGUCCGUAGGCGGACUUAUAAGUCAGUGGUGAAAGCCUGUCGCUUAACGAUAGAACUGCCAUUGAUACUGUAAGCCUUGAGUAUAUUUGAGGUAGCUGGAAUAAGUAGUGUAGCGGUGAAAUGCAUAGAUAUUACUUAGAACACCAAUUGCGAAGGCAGGUUACCAAGAUAUAACUGACGCUGAGGGACGAAAGCGUGGGGAGCGAACAGG
rnacentral:rRNA from 1 species